AACAGACAGUAGAGCAGCAGAAUGAGAUAAGAUGAUAAGAUAAUAUAAAAUGUAUUAGAGCUGCAACAUUGUCAGCAUCCUAAAGUAAACACAGUUUUUAGUCAUCCCAACUAUCAGACACUUUUGUCAAAGCUCAUCGAUCCAGGGUUUAAUGGCUGUGAAACUGGGCCUCCAGAUUUGAUUUAUAGAAUAUGUGGGAUACUGUGUUUGAUUUCAUUGCCUGUAAAGCACAAGUUAUGAGAUUAAUUAAAAUUAUAUAAAAAUUGAUAUUUUUUAUCACCCUCAACCUAUACCAUUUUGUUUAAAGAGGUCUAUAACCUGAUAUGCUUAUUCUCUUUCUGCUUUUCAGAUAAAAUGAAAUUUACCUCCAGCCCAAGCAGUAAAGUGUGGAACAUGAUGGAGGGAAGAGGCUGAUAUCAGGACCAAGGAAGUGUGCCUGUGAACUCACACUGGACCCAAACACAGUGAACCAAAGCCUGUCUUUGUCCGAGAACAACAGAAAUGUGACAGAGGUGAUGGAGAAGCUGCUGUAUCCUGAUCAUCCAGAGAGAUUUCACCACUGGAAACAGGACAACAAAGCCAUAAAUCCUAUUGGACAGAGAACAAACAGCUGACUUUGUCAUGCCAAAGCGAAUGGAUUUUAUUUACACAUCUAGUUUGUACAACAAGGUCAUCCAUUGUUCCAUGUGUGGUACACAAAUAAAACAAAUCAAAGUGAACACGUGAGUUGUGACUUUAUUAUUUUUUCAUCAUGAUUAAUAUCAUUAUUCCAGGUAAAGACUUUGGCUAUGAUGUGUGUUAUAUAUUAUGAGUUCAUAUUAUAGUCUACAACACAUAUUUUAUUAUUUUGUGUCGAAACCCAGAGACUUUUUAAUAAGCGGAAUAACUGGCACAUAAAUAGUAACUAGAUUAUGUACAACAUGUACAAUGUAUGAAAUCACAAAUACUGUGUCAAAGUAAAAAUGUCAAUAUAAAAAAAAACUCACAAUGGCAAAAAUGGACAAAACAAAGCGGAACUGCUUAAAUAUUUUUCAUACCUCGUAUGCAAAUGCACAAAAGAACAAGCAAAGAAACUGAAAAAAGAAA